GGGUUGGCUGCUCCUGAGCUGGUCUUGGGGACGCUGGGUGAACAAAUACAACCUACAUGGCCACGAGGACCUGGGCAGGUGUGUCCAGAGGUCUUCACUGUACCCCGCGGCCACAAAGCCACUGCCUGCUCGUGCUCACAGACGCACUGAAGACUGGAUGGCAUGCAGGAAGCCCCAGGCGAAUGAAAACUGAGAAUGACAAGGACACAGCCAGUGACAGUGGUUCCAGUGAGCAUCCAUGAGGUCCACAUUUCUACCGUCCUCUCCCCAGGUGCCUCCGCCCACUCACGGGUUGGGGAUCCAGAAGGAGACCCAGGACCUUGAAACCACCCUACAUUGUCAGCAAUUUUUAACUUUUUUCUUUCUGAUUUUUUUUAACUUUCCUAUUUUAAUGUUUUGAGACAGUGUUUCUUUAAAUCACCUGGGCUGGGCUUGAAUUCAAUCCUCCUGACUUAGCCUCCCUAACUGCAGGAAUUUGCAGGUGUGCACCACUGUAGAGAGGCCACACUGACUCCAUUUUGUCCCAGACACAUCCAGUCGACAAUGUUAUGGGAAAAGUGCAGGUCUUGAAACAUCACCCCCAUCCCAAGGCAUGUGGUCCUGUAAGGACAAGAAGCCAACAAGUUAUAUAACCUAACCAUGUGCAAUUUGAGUUUCUUUAUUCUUUAUCUCAAUAAAAGCUACUUCUUUAGGCUGGCUGGGCAGUAGCGGUUUUGCUGAUCCUUUGUGUGUGUGACCCUUUAUUUUCCCUUUGCUUGCAGAACCUCAACAUACCACACCUAGAAACACAAGAUUUCUUGACUAUUUUGGUUUUUGGAAGCAGGGUCUUACUAUUUAGUUCAGACUGACUUCAAACUCUUGGCAGUCCUGCCUCAGCCUCCCGAGUUUUGGGAUUAGCAGGUGUGUGACAUCAUCCAGCUAGUGGGUCCACUCAAUAGUUCUGGGAGUCACUGGGAUGAAGAGGCAGCAAAACUAGGGUACCUUAUCCAUAAUAGUCCCUAUUGGGAGUCAUUUUAGAUUGAUGGGAGAAAUGCUUUUGUUCCUUCCCAAGAUCCAGCUGCCACUACCACCCCACGGAAGGGUCACUGCUGUCCAGGCAGAUGGAGAGUGGGCCAGGCAGGAUGAGCAGGGAAUGGACAGGAAUUGAAACUCCCCUGUAACUGGAGGAAGAGUACAGGAUUAGGGUACCUAUAAUGCUGCAGUUGCCAUGCCAGCUGAUGGACAGUGGCUUGUUCUGUCCACUGUCCUGGGAUGCUGUCAGCACAGGUCCUGGAGGCAGCCAGCAUGACAGAAGGGCCAAACACCACAGGGACUAAUGAGGCAUAGCGGAAGCACCGUGGGCCUGGAGCCCAGAGGCUGAUUGGCAGAGACUGACCUCUGCUGGACACUGUCUGGCUCCCACCUGAAGGUGUCCCCUCCCUGGUGUGGUUCUGAUACCAGGUCAAUGAUCUCAAGGAGCAAAGCACUUAUUGGUGGCUGGUCCACAGUGUAGUGGUAGUACUCUGGACUCUGAACUCAGUGGCCUGAGUUCAAAUCUUGGUGGGGCCUUUGUGGUUGUCUUACCUCCUCCCCACCCACGUACUCCCAUUUGGUCCCCAGCCUUCAUUGUAAUUCCGAGACAAGAGUCUUGCUAAGUAGCUAAAACUGCUUGGGCUGGGAUUACAGGCCUUUGCCACCUACUGACCUGAUACUUCACAAAAGCCCUUGCCCAUUUUUGGGCCAAGUAUGAUUUGCUUUUUAGGCUAAGAGUAAGAUUUUGGCCCCUGUGCACGCUCUUGUUUCAAAACACAUGCUCACACUCUGAGUUCGGUGUCCCUGCUGGCCAUGGUGGUGCACACCUGGAACCCAGCACUUGGGAGGCUGAGGCAGGAGGUUCACUGCAAGUUCAACGGCAGCCUGGGCUACACAGUGAGUUUAGGGCCAGCCUGAUGACACAGGAAGACCUGGUCUCAAAGCACCACCAAACAAACAGUCU
ensembl:lincRNA